AUCUUUUUUUUAUCACAAUAAAAAAAUUUGAUUCAUGUAAGAGUGGGUUUUAAAUACAAGAAUUUCGCAUUAACCUUGGCUAAAAAAAGCCAGGUUAAGCUAAAAUCAAUAAUGAUCCUUCCGCAGGUUCACCUACGGAAA
rnacentral:misc_RNA from 1 species